GAAUUUAAGCAUAUCACUAAGCGGAGGAAAAGAAACUAACCAGGAUUCCCCUAGUAACGGCGAGUGAAGAGGGAUUAGCCCAGCACCGAAGCCUGCGGCAGUUUUGCUGUUAGGCAAUGUGGUGUUUGGGUCGGCUCGUGGGAUUGCCACUCCAUUCGAAGUCCAGCAUUGAGUAUGGUCACUGGAUUUGGCCCAGAGAGGGUGAAAGGCCCGUACGAAUGGAGGUUCAGACAAGUAAGGCAGUUCACCAGGCCGGCCUUAGAGUCGGGUUGUUUGAGAAUGCAGCCCAAAGUGGGUGGUAAACUCCAUCCAAGGCUAAAUACUAGCACGAGUCCGAUAGCGAACAAGUACCGUGAGGGAAAGUUGAAAAGUACUUUGAAGAGAGAGUAAACAGUACGUGAAACCGCAUGCAGGUAAACGGGUGGCGUCAAGCUGCAAGCCCGGAGGAUUCAGCUGGCUAGGAUGUUGUAUAUGCGCCUGGCGCAUCUAUCAGUCGGAGUAGGAUGUGUUAGUCCACUGGGAUACGGUGGGCCCGGCCGCAAGGUUGGGAUAUGUGUACCGGGUGUUUGCCGGAGCAUGCUAUCCAUCUGUUGGACUGUCUAGUCAGUGCACUUUCUCUGUGGUGAACACCACGACCGGUGGUAUUGCCAGUCUGCUGUAGCCAAGUCGUAUUCAGUGGGUUCUUGUAAUCAACUGGGUGCGAUCACAGGCAAACUCAGUAAACGGCGUAGGGGUGUUUCGGCAUCUCUGCGUGUUAUCGGCUACUGGUUGUCAACGGGCCUGCCUGAUGAUUGUUGUAAUCGUCGUCGGGUGGUCUGGUGGGUUAUGGUGGUAUGAAUAACUGUGCAAGGCACCGGAGUUCUCGGCCUCAAAUGCAUCCUGCGCACACAUUACAAGUGGAGCGGGGUGCCAUUGUAGCCUGCCUAAUGUUGGGUCUGAUUGUCGUGUCGCCUGCGAAAAGUGGGCCCGGCAGUGGCCUGAUGUGGGAUGGGUUGCGGAUGGUGCCUCCUGUGUAGGGUGCUGUUGGCCAAAUAGUCAGUGGUGUAGUGGUAGACGAGCUACCCGACCCGUCUUGAAACACGGACCAAGGAGUUUAACAUGUAUGCAAGUCAAAGGGCCCUACGAAACCCCAAGGCGCAGUGAAAGUAAAGCUUCGACCUGUUCUCGGAGUGAGGUGAGAUCCUGCCGUUACUCGCAUCAGCCUUAUGUCAGCAUCAGGCUAAGAGCGGUGGGCGCAUCACCGGCCCGUCCCAUGAUGUGGUCAUUGGAUUUCUGUAGUCGUUGCUUGCAGCGGCUGUGGAGCCAGUGCGUCAUCGGGGCGGAGCAUGAGCAUACAUGUUGAGACCCGAAAGAUGGUGAACUAUGCUUGCGUAGGUUGAAGCCAGAGGAAACUCUGGUGGAGGACCGCAGCGAUUCUGACGUGCAAAUCGAUCGUCAAACGUGAGUAUAGGGGCGAAAGACUAAUCGAACCAUCUAGUAGCUGGUUCCCUCCGAAGUUUCCCUCAGGAUAGCUGGCGCUCAUUCGCAUGAUCAGUUUUAUCCGGUAAAGCGAAUGAUUAGAGGUACUGGGUUCGAAACGAGCUCAACCUAUUCUCAAACUUUAAAUGGGUGAGAUGCCCGGCUCGCCUAAUAGGAGUCGGGCGUUGAAUGUGUGAGUGCCAAGUGGGCCAUUUUUGGUAAGCAGAACUGGCGCUGUGGGAUGAACCAAACGCUCGGUUAAGGUGCCUAACGCGACGCUCAUGAGAUACCACAAAAGGUGUUGGUUAAUAUAGACAGCAGGACGGUGGCCAUGGAAGUCGGCAUCCGCUAAGGAGUGUGUA
rnacentral:rRNA from 1 species